rnacentral:rRNA from 1 species
AAUGAACGCUGGCGGCAUGCCUAACACAUGCAAGUCGAACGAAGGCUUCGGCCUUAGUGGCGCACGGGUGCGUAACGCGUGGGAAUCUGCCCUCAGGUUCGGAAUAACAGCGAGAAAUUGCUGCUAAUACCGGAUGAUAUCGCGAGAUCAAAGAUUUAUCGCCUGAGGAUGAGCCCGCGUAGGAUUAGCUAGUUGGUGUGGUAAAGGCGCACCAAGGCGACGAUCCUUAGCUGGUCUGAGAGGAUGAUCAGCCACACUGGGACUGAGACACGGCCCAGACUCCUACGGGAGGCAGCAGUGGGAAAUAUGGGAAAAAGGGCGAAAGCCUGAUCCAGCAAUGCCGCGUGGGUGAUGAGGGCUUUAGGGUUGUAAAGCUCUUUUACCCGGGAUGAUAAUGACAGUACCGGGAGAAUAAGCUCCGGCUAACCCCGUGCCAGCCGCCGCCGUAA